rnacentral:misc_RNA from 1 species
GUACUCUCACACUUCUGAUCCUUUGGAUUGGGAGCGGUGGACUUGGGUGUUGCCGCUUUACUGUGGCUCACCUCUAAUGCAUUAGUGCAACUCUUGGUUGGACAUAGUACGGCGUGAUAAGUAUCUUCGCCGGCACCUCACAAGAGGGUGGCUGAUCAGGAGCUCUGUGCUUCAAACCGUCCUUGGACAAUGGCUGACA